rnacentral:rRNA from 1 species
GACGAACGCUGGCGGCGUGCCUAAUACAUGCAAGUAGAACGCUGAAGAGAGGAGCUUGCUCUUCUUGGAUGAGUUGCGAACGGGUGAGUAACGCGUAGGUAACCUGCCUUGUAGCGGGGGAUAACUAUUGGAAACGAUAGCUAAUACCGCAUAACAAUGGAUGACACAUGUCAUUUAUUUGAAAGGGGCAAUUGCUCCACUACAAGAUGGACCUGCGUUGUAUUAGCUAGUAGGUGAGGUAACGGCUCACCUAGGCGACGAUACAUAGCCGACCUGAGAGGGUGAUCGGCCACACUGGGACUGAGACACGGCCCAGACUCCUACGGGAGGCAGCAGUAGGGAAUCUUCGGCAAUGGGGGCAACCCUGACCGAGCAACGCCGCGUGAGUGAAGAAGGUUUUCGGAUCGUAAAGCUCUGUUGUAAGUCAAGAACGAGUGUGAGAGUGGAGAGUUCACACUGUGACGGUAGCUUACCAGAAAGGGACGGCUAACUACGUGCCAGCAGCCGCGGUAAUACGUAGGUCCCGAGCGUUGUCCGGAUUUAUUGGGCGUAAAGCGAGCGCAGGCGGUUUGAUAAGUCUGAAGUUAAAGGCUGUGGCUCAACCAUAGUUCGCUUUGGAAACUGUCAAACUUGAGUGCAGAAGGGGAGAGUGGAAUUCCAUGUGUAGCGGUGAAAUGCGUAGAUAUAUGGAGGAACACCGGUGGCGAAAGCGGCUCUCUGGUCUGUAACUGACGCUGAGGCUCGAAAGCGUGGGGAGCGAACAGGAUUAGAUACCCUGGUAGUCCACGCCGUAAACGAUGAGUGCUAGGUGUUGGAUCCUUUCCGGGAUUCAGUGCCGCAGCUAACGCAUUAAGCACUCCGCCUGGGGAGUACGACCGCAAGGUUGAAACUCAAAGGAAUUGACGGGGGCCCGCACAAGCGGUGGAGCAUGUGGUUUAAUUCGAAGCAACGCGAAGAACCUUACCAGGUCUUGACAUCCCGAUGCUAUUUCUAGAGAUAGAAAGUUACUUCGGUACAUCGGUGACAGGUGGUGCAUGGUUGUCGUCAGCUCGUGUCGUGAGAUGUUGGGUUAAGUCCCGCAACGAGCGCAACCCCUAUUGUUAGUUGCCAUCAUUCAGUUGGGCACUCUAGCGAGACUGCCGGUAAUAAACCGGAGGAAGGUGGGGAUGACGUCAAAUCAUCAUGCCCCUUAUGACCUGGGCUACACACGUGCUACAAUGGUUGGUACAACGAGUUGCGAGUCGGUGACGGCAAGCUAAUCUCUUAAAGCCAAUCUCAGUUCGGAUUGUAGGCUGCAACUCGCCUACAUGAAGUCGGAAUCGCUAGUAAUCGCGGAUCAGCACGCCGCGGUGAAUACGUUCCCGGGCCU